rnacentral:rRNA from 1 species
GAUGAACGCUGGCGGCGUGCCUAAUACAUGCAAGUCGAGCGAACAGACGAGGAGCUUGCUCCUCUGACGUUAGCGGCGGACGGGUGAGUAACACGUGGAUAACCUACCUAUAAGACUGGGAUAACUUCGGGAAACCGGAGCUAAUACCGGAUAAUAUAUUGAACCGCAUGGUUCAAUAGUGAAAGACGGUGUUGCUGUCACUUAUAGAUGGAUCCGCGCCUCAUUAGCUAGUUGGUAAGGUAACGGCUUACCAAGGCAACGAUGCGUAGCCGACCUGAGAGGGUGAUCGCCCACACUGGAACGGAGACACGGUCCAGACUCCUACGGGAGGCAGCAGUAGGGAAUCUUCCGCAAUGGGCGAAAGCCUGACGGAGCAACGCCGCGUGAGUGAUGAAGGUCUUCGGAUCGUAAAACUCUGUUAUUAGGGAAGAACAAAUGUGUAAGUAACUAUGCACGUCUUGACGGUACCUAAUCAGAAAGCCACGGCUAACUACGUG